UACGUAGGGGGCAAGCGUUGUCCGGAAUCAUUGGGCGUAAAGAGCGUGUAGGCGGCUCGGUAAGUCCGUUCUGAAAGUCCAGGGCUCAACCCUGGGAUGCGGAUGGAUACUGUCGGGCUCGAGUCCGGAAGAGGCGAGUGGAAUUCCCGGUGUAGCGGUGAAAUGCGCAGAUAUCGGGAGGAACACCAAUGGCGAAGGCAGCUCGCUGGGACGUGACUGACGCUGAGACGCGAAAGCGCGGGGAGCAAACAGG
rnacentral:rRNA from 1 species